rnacentral:rRNA from 1 species
UUCUGGUUGAUCCUGCCGGACCUGACUGCUAUCGGAUUGAUACUAAGCCAUGCGAGUCGUUGUAGCAAUACAAGGCAUACGGCUCAGUAACGCGUAGUCAACCUAACCUAUGGACGGGAAUAACCUCGGGAAACUGAGAAUAAUGCCCGAUAGAACAUUAUGCCUGGAAUGGUUUAUGUUCCAAAUGAUUUAUCGCCAUAGGAUGGGACUGCGGCCUAUCAGUUUGUUGGUGAGGUAAUGGCCCACCAAGACUAUUACAGGUACGGGCUCUGAGAGGAGUAGCCCGGAGAUGGGUACUGAGACACGGACCCAGGCCCUAUGGGGCGCAGCAGGCGAGAAAACUUUGCAAUGUGCGAAAGCACGACAAGGUUAAUCCGAGUGAUUUCUGCUAAAGAGAUCUUUUGUUAGUCCUAGAAACACUAACGAAUAAGGGGUGGGCAAGUUCUGGUGUCAGCCGCCGCGGUAAAACCAGCACCUCAAGUGGUCAGGAUGAUUAUUGGGCCUAAAGCAUCCGUAGCCGGCUCUGUAAGUUUUCGGUUAAAUCUGUACGCUCAACGUACAGGCUGCCGGAAAUACUGCAGAACUAGGGAGUGGGAGAGGUAGACGGUACUCGGUAGGAAGUGGUAAAAUGCUUUGAUCUAUCGAUGACCACCUGUGGCGAAGGCGGUCUACCAGAACACGUCCGACGGUGAGGGAUGAAAGCUGGGGGAGCAAACCGGAUUAGAUACCCGGGUAGUCCCAGCUGUAAACUAUGCAAACUCAGUGAUGCAUUGGCUUGUGGCCAAUGCAGUGCUGCAGGGAAGCCGUUAAGUUUGCCGCCUGGGAAGUACGUACGCAAGUAUGAAACUUAAAGGAAUUGGCGGGGGAGCACCACAAGGGGUGAAGCCUGCGGUUCAAUUGGAUUCAACGCCGGGA